UGAACGCUGGCGGUGUGCCUAAUACAUGCAAGUCGAACGAGGAGCCUUUUUACUUGUAUUCGUACUCGUAAAGAGGAUUUCCUAGUGGCGAACGGGUGAGUAUCGCGUUGGUGACCUGCCCCAAAGAGAGGAAUAACAGUUCGAAAGGACUGCUAAUACCUCAUGUUGUCAUGGUUUUUAGAAACCCAUGACUAAAGGAGACUUGUCUUCACUUUGGGAGGGGCCUGCGUCCCAUCAGCUAGUUGGUAAGGUAACGGCUUACCAAGGCGACGACGGGUAGGGGACCUGAGAGGGUGGCCCCCCACAAUGGAACUGAAACACGGUCCAUACACCUACGGGUGGCAGCAGUAGGGAAUAUUGCACAAUGGGCGAAAGCCUGAUGCAGCAACACCGCGUGUGCGAUGAAGGCCUUCGGGUCGUAAAGCACUUUUUGAGAGGAUGAGAAAGGACAGUACUCUCAGAAUAAGUCUCGGCUAACUAC
rnacentral:rRNA from 1 species